UGGAUGGAGAGACGGGCCAGCAGCAGGUGACACUGGGCCUGCUGACCAUGGUACUGAUUUCUCCAGGAACCAGAAAUCACUUGAAUGUUUAAUACAGAAGGCCUUUCAUGGAGACAAUUGGAUACAGAGGUGAUAGAAGGGCUGAGAUGCCAGGCAGGGGGCAGUGCAGCAACCAGAGACCAGAGGAGUGGGAAGCCCCUACCAGGCUAAAGGGACAAAGGCAGAAGAGGGUACAAUUGGAGCCCAGGGACUCGGACCCCCUGAGGCAGCUGGAACCAAGGUGGGCCUGUCUGGAGUGAACCAGAGGCGGGAAGGAAAUGCAGGCCCUGAGGGAGAGGCUCGGGAGAGACGCCCUGGCUGCUCUCUCUUCCUGCGUUUCAGGAUCUUGCCCAUGCCUCCCGUCAGCCACUGCCUCAAGAAGCAAGCUGAAGCGGGAGCCUGGAAAGCAGAGCCUGCAGGCUUCGCUGUGAUGGAGAACAGAGCAAGGGAUGGGGAGGGGGGCACCUGGGGGCAAACGGGCUCAGGAUGGAACCUCCCCCUACCUUCUGCCUCUGAAGUCAAAAGGCAGGUAGUGCCAUUGAGAGUUGGGCAAGAAUGGACAGUAGAG
rnacentral:lncRNA from 1 species